AUAGAAGGUUGUACUUGUCACCUAUAUGCUUGUAUGAGAGGUAGGCUGCUGGUGGCAGUUCAAGCAGGCUACCCUGCCCGGUUUAGUUAUUUGGGAACUGUUCCUGAUGGCCUUCAAUGCAGAGUGCCUCCUAGAGCACCUCCGACAUUUGAAGAAGAUGAAGUUUACACACCUAAUCUAGGGUGAGAUGACUAUGUCAAAAUAUGCCCGAAGAUUCCUAGAGUUUGGUCGAUAAUCCCCUGAGAGCAUGAUGGAUGAGAGCAAGAAGGUAAAAAAGUUCGAGUGGGGCCUCCACCCUGAGAUUAGAUAACAGCUGUACGUAUUUGAUCUUAGUACUUAUUGAACCGUUCUGGCCAAGUUACAACUAGUAGAGAGGAACUUUCGCAUCUUUUCUCCAGCAGUGAGGAAUCCUAGACCCUCAGUUUCACACUGCAGACUAACACCCACUACACCAGUUCAGUAGAACAAGAGAUCUAGGGCAAUGACUCAGGCUUCUCCCCAGGCUUCGGUAACACGAUGCAGUAGGAUUUGCUAGCACUGUGUUAAGGAUCAUAGGGACCGACCUUGUUAUCAUCUCAAUAAUAUUUGUCUCAUAUGUGGGAGUACCCAACAUUAU
rnacentral:lncRNA from 1 species